CCUGGAGACCAUACUAUCUUAAACACCCCAAAUCUCAGAAGCUAAGGAAGUUUCAGUCUGGUUAGUAUUUGAUGGAAGGCCAACAUCCUUUCAAAACAAGAACUUUCCUGAU
rnacentral:rRNA from 1 species